rnacentral:rRNA from 1 species
UACGUAGGGGGCAAGCGUUGUUCGGAAUUACCGGGCGUAAAGGGCUCGUAGGUGGCCAACUAAGUCGGACGUGAAAUCCCUCGGCUUAACCGGGGAACUGCGUCCGAUACUGGAUGGCUUGAGUUUGGGAGAGGGAUGCGGAAUUCCAGGUGUAGCGGUGAAAUGCGUAGAUAUCUGGAGGAACACCGGUGGCGAAGGCGGCAUCCUGGACCAACACUGACACUGAGGAGCGAAAGCCAGGGGAGCAAACGGG